AUUGAACGCUGGCGGCAUGCCUUACACAUGCAAGUCGAACGGUAACGGGUCCUUCGGGAUGCCGACGAGUGGCGAACGGGUGAGUAAUAUAUCGGAACGUGCCCAGGAGUGGGGGAUAACUGCUCGAAAGAGCAGCUAAUACCGCAUACGACCUGAGGGUGAAAGGAGGGGAUCGCAAGACCUUCCGCUAUUGGAGCGGCCGAUAUCAGAGUAGCUAGUUGGUGGGGUAAAGGCCUACCAAGGCAACGAUCUGUAGUUGGUCUGAGAGGACGACCAGCCACACUGGGACUGAGACACGGCCCAGACUCCUACGGGAGGCAGCAGUGGGGAAUUUUGGACAAUGGGCGCAAGCCUGAUCCAGCAAUGCCGCGUGCAGGAAGAAGGCCUUCGGGUUGUAAACUGCUUUUGUCAGGGAAGAAAUCUUCUGGGCUAAUACCCCGGGAGGAUGACGGUACCUGAAGAAUAAGCACCGGCUAACUACGUGCCAGCCGCCGCGGUAA
rnacentral:rRNA from 1 species